rnacentral:tRNA from 1 species
GCCUUCGUGGGUGUAGUGGUCAGCACGCUUGACGCGUAACUGAGAAGUCCGUGGUUCGAUUCUCGGCGAAGGCG